rnacentral:rRNA from 1 species
GCAAGAUACCACGGGCGCACGGCGGAUGCCUUGGCACAGGGAGCCGAUGAAGGACGCGGCAAGCUGCGAUAAUCCCCGGCGAGGAGCACACAUCCUUCGACCCGGGGGUCUCCGAAUGGGCGAACCCAUCCACAGAGGUGUGGAUAUCCCCGGCCCGAACACAUAGGGCCGGGGAGGACAACCCGGGGAACUGAAACAUCUAAGUACCCGGAGGAGAGGAAAUCAAUCUCGAGACUCCCCGAGUAGCGGCGAGCGAAAGGGGACCGAUGGCCAAACCGUCGAGCGGGCAUACCCGGCAGGGAUUCCGCCGACGGGGUUGCAGGGCCGCGCAUCCGGGGGCUGCCGCCCCCGGGCGCAGGUCCGGCUGGGGAGCGGAACGGCAUGGGAGGGCCGGCCGCAGCGGGUGACAGCCCCGUACGCGAACCCAGACCGGACGGCGCGACGCGGUCCCUGAGUAGGGCCGGGCACGUGAAACCCGGUCCGAACCUGGGUGGACCACCAUCCAAGCCUGAGUACUACCCUGUGACCGAUAGCGCACCAGUACCGUGAGGGAAAGGUGAAAAGCACCCCGGGAGGGGAGUGAAACAGUACCUGAAACCGUGCGCCCACGAGCAGUCGGAGCACCCUUCGGGGUGUGACGGCGUGCCUUUUGUAGAAUGAGCCAGCGAGUCGCUGGCGCGGGGCGAGGUUAACCGAAAGGGAGCCGGAGCGAAAGCGAGCCUUAACAGGGCGACUUGAGUCCCGCGCCGCGGACGCGAAGCCGGGUGAGCUAUCCGUGGGCAGGCUGAAGCGGGGGUAAGACCCCGUGGAGGGCCGAACGCACGUCGGUUGAAAACGGCGGCGAUGACCUGCGGAUAGGGGUGAAAGGCCAAUCAAACCCGGAGAUAUCUCGUUCUCCCCGAAAUAGCUUUAGGGCUAGCGUCGCGCGUUCACCGCCGGAGGUAGAGCACCGGAUGGACGAGGGGGCUUCGCCGCCUACCGAAUCCAACCGAACUCCGAAUGCCGGCGGCCCAGAGCGCGGCAGUCAGAGCAUGUGGGCUAAGCUGUGUGCUCGAGAGGGAAACAGCCCGGACCGCCCGCUAAGGUCCCCAAGUUCCAGCCGAGUGGCAAAGGAUGUGCGUCCGCCCAGACAACCAGGAUGUUGGCUUAGAAGCAGCCAUACAUUCAAAGAGUGCGUAACAGCUCACUGGUCGAGUGGACAUGCGCCGACAAUACACGGGGCUAAGCUGGACACCGAAGCGGCGGGAUUUUAAUUCAUUAGAAUCGGUAGGGGAGCUUCCCAUGGGCGGAGAAGCCGGAGGGCGACCGACGGUGGAGCGCAUGGGAGUGAGAAUGCUGGCAUGAGUAGCGAGAGACGAGAGAGUAACUCGUCCGCCGUGAACCCGAGGUUUCCUGGGCAAGGCUAAUCCUCCCAGGGUCAGUCGGGGGCUAAGGCGAGGCCGGUAGGCGUAGCCGACGCGCAGCAGGCAGACAUUCCUGCACCGCGCACGCGGCGCUACGACCGACGGGGCGACGGAUGGGGGUGGCUCGGCGGGGUUCUGGACGUCCCCGUGAUGGAGCGCGGCCCGCGGACCAGGGAAAUCCGGUCCGCAUUGAGGGCGAGGCUCCGGACGAAGCGAUUGAGCGAAGCGAGUGAGCCCGAGGUCCCUAGAAAAACCCCUAGGCAGGCGCGUGCGCGCCCGUACCGCAAACCGACACAGGUGGGUGGGUAGAACAUACCGAGGCGAUCGGGUCAACCAUGGUCAAGGAACUCGGCACAAUGGCCCCGUAACUUCGGGAGAAGGGGUGCCCGCGCGUACGUGAACCGGCUUGCCCGGGGAGCGGAGGCGGGCCGCAGUGGAGAGGCCCAAGCGACUGUUUACCAAAAACACAGGACUCUGCAGAAGCCGCAAGGCGACGUAUAGGGUCUGACGCCUGCCCGGUGCCGGAAGGUCACGCGGAGGAGUUAGCGCAUCGCGCGAAGCCCCGAAGCCAAGCCCCGGUAAACGGCGGCCGUAACUAUAACGGUCCUAAGGUAGCGAAAUUCCUUGUCGGGU